ACGGUGAUCCUUCUGUACAUAGCUGGUGCACGGGCUGCGUUAACACGCUAUGCAACCUACCUUACAUUGGGGGAUAGCCUUUCGAAAGGGAGCAUUAAUACCGCAUAAGACAGCUAGCUGGGCAUCCAGCAGCUGUUAAAUGAUCUAUCGAUGUAAGAUGGGCAUGCGUCCAAUUAGUCAGUUGGCGAGGCAACGGCUCACCAAGACUUUGAUUGGUAGGGGAACUGAGAGGUCAAUCCCCCACACUGGCACUGAGAUACGGGCCAGACUCCUACGGGAGGCAGCAGUAGGGAAUAUUGGGCAAUGGACGCAAGUCUGACCCAG
rnacentral:rRNA from 1 species